UACGUAGGGUGCAAGCGUUGUCCGGAAUUAUUGGGCGUAAAGAGCUCGUAGGCGGUCUGUCGCGUCGAAUGUGAAAACCCGGGGCUCAACCCCGGGCCUGCAUUUGAUACGGGCAGACUAGAGUUCGGUAGGGGAGUCUGGAAUUCCUGGUGUAGCGGUGAAAUGCGCAGAUAUCAGGAGGAACACCGGUGGCGAAGGCGGGAAUCUGGGCCAAUACUGACGCUGAGGAGCGAAAGCGUGGGGAGCAAACAGG
rnacentral:rRNA from 1 species